GGUAACACUAACUGGAGGACCGAACCGACUAAUGUUGAAAAAUUAGCGGAUGACCUGUGGCUGGGGGUGAAAGGCCAAUCAAACCGGGAGAUAGCUGGUUCUCCCCGAAAGCUAUUUAGGUAGCGCCUCGUGAAUUCAUCUCCGGGGGUAGAGCACUGUUUCGGCUAGGGGGCCAUCCCGGCUUACCAACCCGAUGCAAACUGCGAAUACCGGAGAAUGUUAUCACGGGAGACACACGGCGGGUGCUAACGUCCGUCGUGAAGAGGGAAACAACCCAGACCGCCAGCUAAGGUCCCAAAGUCAUGGUUAAGUGGGAAACGAUGUGGGAAGGCCCAGACAGCCAGGAUGUUGGCUUAGAAGCAGCCAUCAUUUAAAGAAAGCGUAAUAGCUCACUGGUCGAGUCGGCCUGCGCGGAAGAUGUAACGGGGCUAAACCAUGCACCGAAGCUGCGGCAGCGACGCUUAUGCGUUGUUGGGUAGGGGAGCGUUCUGUAAGCCUGUGAAGGUGUGUCGUGAGGCAUGCUGGAGGUAUCAGAAGUGCGAAUGCUGACAUAAGUAACGAUAAAGCGGGUGAAAAGCCCGCUCGCCGGAAGACCAAGGGUUCCUGUCCAACGUUAAUCGGGGCAGGGUGAGUCGACCCCUAAGGCGAGGCCGAAAGGCGUAGUCGAUGGGAAACGGGUUAAUAUUCCCGUACUUGGUGUUACUGCGAAGGGGGGACGGAGAAGGCUA
rnacentral:rRNA from 1 species